UACAGAGGUCCCAAGCGUUGUUCGGAUUCACUGGGCGUAAAGGGUGCGCAGGUGGGUUGGCAAGUUCGAUGUGAAAGCCCCGGGCUUAACCCGGGAAUGGCAUUGGAAACUGCUGAUCUGGAGGAUCGGAGGGGGGACUGGAAUUCCAGGUGUAGCGGUGAAAUGCGUAGAUAUCUGGAGGAAUACCGGUGGCGAAGGCGGCAUCCUGGACCGGCAUUGACGCUGAGGAGCGAAAGCUAGGGGAGCAAACGGG
rnacentral:rRNA from 1 species